UGCAGCUGGAGGCCAUUAUGUUAAGCAAAUUAAUGCAGAAACAGAAAAUAAAAUACCACAUGUUCUCACUUAUAAGUGGGAAGUAAACAGUGGGUACACAUGGACACAAAGAUGGAAAAAGUAGACACUGGGGAAUACUAGAGGGAGCAGGGUAAGAUGGGGGCAAGGGUUGAAAAACUAAUUAUUGAGUAUUACACUCACUACCAGGCUGACAGGAUCAACCAUACCCUAAACCUCAGUCUCACACAAUAUACUUAUGUAGCAAACCUGCACGUGUAUCCUAUGAAUCUAAAAUAAAAGGUGAAAUUAUAUUUUUAAAAAUUUAAAAUAAAAGCAUACCUCUGCAGCAGUAGCUGGGGUAACACAGCCUUUCCCCACCAGUAAAAAAAAAAAAAAAAAAAAAAAAAGUAAGAUAAAAAGUAAAAAAAAAAAUUUUGAGUCUGUCUUAGACACAUUUUAAGGUACCACUAUCUCUUUAUAAUGGCUUUUUAGUUGAAUGUGUGCAUGUAAGUGUAUGCAGGGCACAUGUGUAUGUGCUUAUAUAUAUUCAGAACUUAGCUGUAAUACAACUCUGUCUUUAAUAAGCCACUGAUUGCCUCUGAACCAAUUUUCUCAGUUGUAAAUUGAAACAGUAGAAUUAAGUGAUCUCAAAUAUCUGUUCUAGUUUUACAAUCUAUAUUUCUAUGAUACAAAGAUUGCAUUUUGAAGUAAUGUCUGUCUUUUAUCUUUUAUAUCUCUUUCAUAUUUCCCAUACCAAGAUAUUUUUCACAAAGUCCUGGGGGGAAAAAAAAUUCAGAAACAAAUAGAAGUGGUUCGUUAUUGCCAUAAAAUAAAGCUCAGCUCUUUUGAACGUGCAUGAGACCCCAGGUGCCCUGGAGUCUGUCUGCCUUGCCAGGUUCACCCCUUACUGCUCCUUGCCACACAAUUUCUGCUGUGGAGACAACAUAUUGAUUAAAGCUCUAUUUCUCUAUCCAUGCUUUUUACUGCAUUUCUUUGUUAACCUAACUCCUCUUCUUCCUUUCAAAUCAGCCCAGAUGUCUUCUCUUUCAAGUUUUCUUUAAACUCUAGGACAGACUUGGCAUUUUCUUUCAGAGCUUAUGCUAUCGUAGCACUUACUUAAUAUUAUGUUGAAACCACCUGCUUCUGGAAACUCCCUGAAGACAAGACUUGCUGUCUUUUACCUUUAUAGCCUCAAAAUGAAUAUAUGUUUAAUUGCUAAAAGAAGAUUACAUCUGAUUUUAUCCUCAUUAGGUAGUGUUUUUAUUUUUGACUUUCAAUAUGUUCUGCAUCAAUACAAACUUUAUUGUUUUAUUCAUAUUUUAUUAAUUAUUUUAACACUGAGUUAUCAGAUUACUUCUAACAGUAGGACAUUGGCAUUUUACUAAUCUCUUAAAUAUGACAUUUUAUAUAAUGGUCAAUAUUUCUUCUGAAAAACUCAUAUAUAUUCAAUUUUAUAAUUAGUUUAUAUUAAUGAAACAGGAAAAAAGAUUCAAAAUUUUUUUCGGAAAUUUACUAUGCUGAAAAAAUUAUACUAACAUCUGAAAAUUGUGCCAUUUUGCAUGAGAUGAAUAACAAUUUUAAGUACUCUUUAGUAAUUAUCCUAUUAAUAAUUGAAUUAAUAAUCAAAAUAGUAGCUAUAAUUUAUUAAGUACUUAUUUUACUCCAGAUGCUCUUCUGAAAGUUAUAAACAUAACUCAGGUGAUACCUACAACAAUGCUAUAAUGCUAACAUUGUCUUUAUUCUAUAAAUUCACUUUACAGAAAAUUAAAUAUGUCUUAAACAUUAAUUUAGUGCCUAGUUGUCCACGUAUUUUUCAUUUGAACACAGUAUACCUAUUAAAGUGGAUUAAUUUAACUUAAUCAACUAAAAGAUAAUAAUAGUAUUAGAUACUGUAUAUAUAUAUAUACACAAAGAGUAUCUUGGUAGGUACUGUGGAGGGAAGAUGAGGAAUUAAAGCAUACAUCUUAACCUUUAGGGGUUUGCUAUCUUACAGAGGAAACAGUGUAUAAAAAUCUGCUGUUUCAUGAGUUCUUCAUAUUUUUUUUUACUGCUCAUACCUUUAAGCAAUGUCUAAGUCAUUGUUUUUUGGUACAUUUUCAAGAAUAAACAUAAGAAAAAAUGAAAUUAUAAUUAAUUCAUACAGCAAGGUUUGCUUGUAGAAAAUAAUGUAUUUUUUUCCCAACACUUUGAAAAUGCUAAGAAUGGCUUCUUUCACCAUGUCCAAGCUUUUUAGCAUAAAUGCAGCCCCAUUUGUCUAUUUACUUUUGUCACCUAUGCUUUGGGGUCCUACACAACAAAUCAUUGCCGAGGCCAAUGCUGUGAAACUUCUCCCCUUUGUUUUCUUCCAGUAUUUUUACAAUUUCAGGUCUUAGAUUUGAGUAUUUAAUUCAUUUGAAGUUAUUUGUACAUGGUGUGUGAACCCCAAAUAUCUGAGACAGGUCUCAGUUGGUUUAGAAAAUUUAUUUUGCAAAGAUUGAGGACACUUACCCAUGACACAGCCUCAGAAGGUACUGACAACAUGUGCCCAAGGUGAUCAGAGCACAGUUUGGUUUUAUACAUUUUAGACAGACAUGAGACAUCAAUCGACAUAUAAAAGACGAACACUGGUUCAGUCUGAAAAGGUGGGCCAACUCGAAUCAAAGGCAGGGCAACUUGAAGUAGGGAGGGGGCUUCCAGGUCAUGGGAAGAAAAGUGACAAAUGGAUGGUUGCAUUCUUUUCAGUUUCUGAUUAGCCUCUCCAAAGGAGUCAAUCAGAUGUGCCUUUAUCGCUGAGAGCAGAGGGGUGACUUUAAAUAGAAUGGGAAACAGGUUUGCCCUCAGCUUGGCUUUUCCCUUUAGCUUAGUGAUGGGGCCCCAAGAUUUAUUUUCCUUUCACAGGUGUGUGACAAGGGUCCAGUUCCAUUUUUUCUGCAUGAGGAUAACAACACAGCAAAACUGCAAUCUACAGAAUCAGAGAAAAUAUUUGUAACCAAUAGGUCUAAUAAAAUGGUAAUAUCCUAAAUAAACAAGAAACUCAAAAUUCUCAACAGCAGAAAAAGAAAAAAAGACCUGGGCAAAGAACCUGAAUAGACAUAUCUCUAAAGAAGAUAUACGAAUGACCAAGAGUCAAAUGAAAAUAUGUCUCAUCACGGAAAUGCAAAUUAAAAGCAUAGAUACAACCUUGCCCCUGUUAGAACAGCUAUUUUCUUUCUCUUUUUAAAAAUUUUGUUAUUUUACUUUGAGAUCUGGGAUGCACGUGUAGAAUGUGUGGUGGUUUGCUGCACCUAUUGACCCAUCACCUAGGUUUCCUCCCCUUGCCCCCCCACCCCUCAGCAGGCCCCAGUGUAUGUUAAAACAGCUAUUUUCAAAAAGACAAAAUAUAACCACAAAUGUUGGCAAGGAUAUAGAGACAAGGAAACCCUGUUAACUGUUGGUGGGAAUAUAAAUUAACACAACCACUAAGUAAAACAACGUGGAGGCUCCUCAAGAGACUAAAACAUAGAUCUACCAUAUGAUCCAGCAAUCCCACUACUGGGUAUAUAUCCAAAGGAAAUGAAAACAACAUAUUGAGGAGAUAGCUGCACUCGCAUGUUUAUCGUAGCACUAGUCACAAUGCCCAAGUUAUGGUAUCAACCUAAGCUUCCUUUAACAAAUGAAUGGAUAGAGAAAAUGUGGCAUAUCUACAUAAUGUAACUCCAGUCAGCCUUUAAAAAGAAGAAAAUCUUGUCCUUUCAAAAAUAGGUGAACCUGGAGGACAGUAUGCUAAGUAAAAUAAGCCAGGCACAGAAAAGCAAAUAUCACAAGUUCUCAAUUAUAUGUAGAAUCUAAAACAAUCAAACUCAUAGAAGCGAAAAUUUAAUGGUGGUUAUCCGAGACAAGGAGUUGGGGAAAUGGUCAAAGGAUGUGAAGCUGCCAGAAGACAGGAAGAAUAAAUGUUAAGUAUUUAAGUUGAUGGAUAUGUUAAUUAGCUUGAUUUAAUCACUCCACACUCUGUAUAUACAUGAUAACAUCACUUUGUAGCCCAUAAUUAUAUAAUUGAUCAAAAAACAAAAUUAAAUAAAAAUCAUAAAAUACUGGUAAUAAACAUUUGUUAAGAUCAAUACUGAAUAACAAUAUUUUUUACUCAUCUAGCCACUUCAUUUAUAAAUAAAAAUUAUAAGAUUAAUAAUGUUGAUAAAUAUUGAAGGUGAACCUCAGCUGCACUUCCUCAAGGAUUGUCAAAAGCAUAAGGAUUAUAGUUAAAAGAAGAGUGUUUUUUGGACAUGCACUUUGAUAGUCCCAGUUAUUAUAGUACAAAUCAUUCAGUUUAAUUGAUUUAAACUGAACCAUCUGCUGUCUAAUUGGCUCACAGCCAGUGGGAUUUGUGUUAGUAAAGAAUACUAAUGUGAAGUUUAUGUUUCACUAAGAAUGUCUCCUUGUGAAUCGCUUGAAACCAGAAGGUGAAGGUUGCAGUGAGCCAAGAUUGUGCCACUGCACUCCAGCCUGGGCAACAAGAGAGAAAUUCCGACUCAAAAAGAAAAAGAAAAAAAAAAAAGAAUGUCUCCUUAUUCAUUGACAAAGAUUAAACAUAUUAAAAUGUAUGCAAAUCAAAGAGCCUACUUUCAAGACUUCUCCUGAACAAGUAGAAUAAGUAGGAUUAGAUAUAUCUUCCUGCCCAAAACAUUUUUGAAAUGCACAAAAUAAAUGAAAAAAGGUUCUGAAGACAUUGGAUAUCAGACCAUGACAGAGAGCAAUAACAGAGAUAGUAAAUAAACAUUGUAAGCUCUCUGAUUGUCCCAGUAUACUUUGUGAAGAUGUUUCCAGGUGGCACAGAAAGAGGAAAACCAGAUAGAUCCUAUGGCUUGAAGAGACAUAGUAGGGAAAGAAGGAAAGACACAGUUGACAGAGUUUGCAAUGUAGAGUACCAGAAAGGAGAGAGUUGCCCAGAAAGAGAAUUCUAGAGAUCUGGAAAAGUUCUUGAGUCAUCAGCUGAAUACUAAUUAGCCCAUGAACAUGGGAAAACAACUUGAGACAAAAGAAAGAAAUGUAUGAAAAGACAGAGGUAGCAUCUUUUGCACUUACACAGGACUGGAAAAAUAAAUGCUCAUUUCCACUAACAAGAGUGGAAAUCCUAAUAAUUCACAGAGUAUCGGGUAGAGUAUAUAAAAAAUUUGUGCCUCAAUUGUGGAGCAAAAUUAGCCAUAGGCCAGGUUCUGCUGUGGUCCUGCCUAACAAAAUUUAAAGGCAAUAAGCAGAUAUGAACUGCAAGAAAUGUUAGAGGAAUUCCCACAGGUAGAAGGAAUAUAAUCCAGAUGGAAAUAAAAAUUUACAGAAAAGGUUGAUUAUUUUCCUUAUUAUAGGUCACCUUUUUCUGCUUCUUUUUUAUGCCUUGGGAUUUUACGUUAGAUGUAGAAUUGAAAAUUCAACUUUGUUGGGCUCUUGGCAAUUUUUUUGUUCAUUUUACAAAUACUCUUGAGCUUUUUUCUGGAAUAUGAUUAAUUUAUUAACAACAGUUUAAUUCUUUCAGGUUUUCCCUUUAGCAUAUGCUAAAAGCCCAUACAGAGGAUCAAUAGCAUAAAAUACCUCCUAAGAACAUUUCUGCUUUGAUGUUUGAAAUGAUGGCCAAUUUAUCAAUAUUGUGAUGAUUAUCUCAUAGAAUAUUUUACCAAAUGUCUAUUUGAGAUUAUCUGAUGUCAUCCGACAGCCAUGGUGUCUUUCUUAGAUUAUGUCCUAUAGACCUUGCAACCUGACAAUUCCCAUCUGUUCUUCACAGAAUUGGAAAGCAAAUUUUGUGCACCUGUGACAGAAUUCUUGAUAUUCUUCAUAGAUUUUUGUCAUUCUGUUCAAUGAGAGAUUCUUGCAUAAAAACUUUAAUCAUUAAUAUUGAAAUAUAAAAUUUAAAAAUAUAUGAAAUAAAAAUUUGGUACUGGAUUAUCCAAAAUAUUUAUUUUUGGCAUGGGUACUUCUCAAAUUACAGAAUUAUAACCCUCAGAUUUUCUUCACCAGCAAGGAUAUUGUAAAACAACAAAAGAGAAACUUAAUAUAUUUCAAAAGGUUACCAGGAAGCAUGGUGUCCUCAGUUCUUAGUGUUCUUGGGAGAAAGAAUUUGGCCAAGAGACAAUUUAACAAAGAGAGUGGAGAGUUUUUGAAGAAAGUACACUCCAAGAGAGGAGUGAGCUUACUAGGCUGGGAGCAAUAGCAAUAGCAGCAAUGGUUAAGGGGUAUCACAGAUUAUUUAAAGUGGCAGAGUGGGCUGCUUGGAGGAGAAUGGGCCAGCGACCCUGAAAGUUCUAUGUUGUUGUUUUUUUAUCAUGUCAUACACUUUCUUUAGGUUUGCACCUCUGUCUCAAGUCUCUGCUUUUGUCUGUGUCUGAUUUCCGACUUCCGCCUUAAGUCCCUGCCUUUUCCCCCACCAAGUUCCCACCGCAGGUUUGUAGGAUUCUCCCUUACUGUCUGUUGAUACGCAAGUGCAGGCCCAGUGAUCUAUACAAAUCUUUCCUAAUGGUAGUGCGGUUCAUUACUACCACCCCAGGAAGGUGUAUAAACAGCAGUUAAAUAUGUAGUUAUUGUGACUUUGUAUCUCUUAGCAAUUUCCCCUUUGCCUUUUUCCCCUCCUUAUCAGCAUAUAGCUAACUAUAGUUUCACAGUUCAAUCACAGAAUGAGUGAUUACUGGGCAUUUUAAGAGGCAUUUUGGAGAGUUCCUUCUUGCAUAGGUAUUUUCCCUCCCCUCUACUCAUAUCUGGCACGCAUAUUUUGGAUGGUCUCUGGAGUGUGAGAUUUCAUAGAGCUUACUACAUUUUUAGGGGCUAACCUUCUUGCUCAUGUCUAACUAUCCACCUACUCUAACAAAUACAUAUUACACUAUAGGUGAGAUGGCUAGAUUAUUGAAAGAUAACUUUGAUUAAUUUACCCAAGACUAAAAUUAUUCUGAGACAAGGAGGAUAAUCCCUGACUACUGAUCCAAGCGGUAGGCUGUGAUAGGCAAUGACUAUGUCAUGUUGCUGAGUUUAUACCUCUAGAGCAUAGCCUAAUGCUUUUAUAGACAUUUACAAAACAUUUAUGAUAUUUUAAGAAGAAUACUUCUGAACUUUUAUGUGUGCCAUGUUGUUGAUCUUACAUACCUAUGAUAUGUCCUAAUUUAUAUAUAAAAACAAAAUUUUAUGAUAUUCUAGAAUAAAUAUAUAUUCUUAUGGGUUUUCUCCAAUUACUCUGUUCUCCAAUUAUAUUCUGCUCAUUGGAAUAAUUUGAAAAUAAUUUAGACUCAUAACUCAUACAUACUGUAAGGACUAUGGGAUACCUAGAUUGGUUAUAAUCUGCUAAUUUGUUUAAUAUUUAGAGACCUUCUAAAAAUAAUUCUUUCAUAGUUUGUUUCUUCUGAAACUUCAGUGUCCAAAGUAGGUUACCCAAAAAAGUUACAUGAUUUCUAUCACAGAGAAUAAAGAAAUUUCCUCUGAUAAUGUUCACAAAUUAAUAGUUGUAGGAAAGAGACUGAAAGAGACUAAGGAUUGUUAAAAAUGUUCAAGACUGAGUGUUUUCUGUUAAUCAAGGCAAAUAAAGUUCAGUUACCUAAAGGAUUUAGUAUUUAUAUUAAGCCUCAAGAUUAACUUUUUCCAUAUCUUUCUUUCCUUCUUGCACAAUUCAAAAAUUUUAUUUCAUCUGGAGAGCCAUAUAUUAAUUAUCAUUUUUAGUCAGUUUAUAAUCUUCUAAAUCUCUUCGAAAUAUACAGCCACAUUUGGAGGUUUUGUAAGUUGACAAUUUUUCUUUCCAAGUUAGAUUUUCUGUUUUCCUUCUUUUGGGCCUGUGAACAUUUAGAAAUAGAGAGAGCAAGGAUCCUUUUAAACUGCUCUUGACUGUACUACAGGCUACUCUUUGAAAAUGUUCUAAAAUAUAUAUAUAUAUAUAUAUAUAUAUAUAUAUAUAUAAAGUUUUCUUAAGUAAUUCUAAAAUGCAUUACAUUGAAGAUUUUUUAUUUUAUUAUUAUUUUUUUUUUGUAUUUCAAGGUCACCUUUGAAUUACAUACAGCUAGGUUGCUUAAAUCAUUUUCUGGUCCCUCCCACUCUAUUGUUUAUAACAAUGUUUUUUUUCCAGAAAAGGGGUUAACAAUUAAGUAAACUCAUUGGCAUAGAUAUACUUGUCCAGAAGGUUUUUUUAAAAAUCCAUAAAUCAUAGUACUUAACAUGGCUUUAGACUGGGAUUUAAAAGCAAUAUGAAAUUUCAUGUUCUCACUAAGAUGGUAUAAAAAGGAUUAGAUUUACCACCCUACUGGGGAAACAAAACAAAACAAAAAUAAAAAAUAAGAAAAAAAUGUCUUUCAGACAUUGACUUUUAUAAUGCAUAUCUCAAGGCUGAUUUUUCACAGAAGUGAAGCAGGUGAGACUAAUCUUGUAACUGCUCUGGUUUGCUUCCUACACAAAAAUUUAAAAACACGUGAACAGAGAGGUAUACCCAAAGCCCCUAAGUGAACUCAUGGAAGUGAAGAAUAUUAAUGGAGAAAAGGAAAAGUUGAGGCAGCUGGAAGUUGUAGAGGCAGAGAUCUGGAAAAGACAGAGCUAUAUCAUUUCUUAGGUGUAGUAGUAAUUGAUUUAUAAAUUUAGGAGCUCCAGUGUGAGAUGUGUAUAUAUUUAAGAUUGUGAUACUUUCCUAUUGGACAAGACCUUUUAUUAUUAUAUAAUGUCCCUCUUUGUCUUUUUUAACUACUAUUGCUUUAAAGUUUUUGUCUGAUAUAAUAAUAGCAACUCCUGCUAGUUUUUGUUGUCCAUUUUCAUAAAAUAUCUUUUUCCACCCCUUUGCCUUAAGUUUAUGUGAGUAGUUAUGUGUUAGGGGAGUCUCUCUUGAAGGCAGCAGGUACUUGGUUGGUGAAUUCUUAUCCAUUCUGUCAUUCUGUAUCUUUUAAGUGAAGCAUUUAGGCCAUUUAUAUUCAUUUAGUAUUGAGAUGUGAGGUACUAUUCUAUUCAUCCUGUUAUUUGUUGCUUGCAUACCCUUGGUUGUUUUGGGUUUUUGUUGUUGUUGUUGUUGUUAUUGUUGUUUGUGCGUGUGUGUUGUUGUAUUAUAGGCCCUGUAAGAUUUAUGCUUUCAAAUGUCCUGUUUUGAUGUAUUUUGAGGAUUUGUUCCAAGACUUAGAGGUCCUUUUAGCAGUUCUUGUAGUGCUGGCUUGGUAAUGGCACAGUGCCUCAACAUUUGUUUGUCUGACAAAGACUAUCUUUCAUACAAAAAGCUGUAUCCUCCAUUUAUGAUACUUAGUAUCACUGGAUACAAAAUUCUUGACUGAUAAUUGUUUUGUUUAAAGAGGCUGAAGAUAGGGCACCAAUCCCUUCUAGUCUGUAGGUUUUCUCCUGAGAAAUCUGCUGUUAAUCUGAUGGGUUUUCCUUUAUAGGACACCCUAUUCAACAAAUGGUGCUGGGAUAAUUGGCAAGCUACAUGUAGAAAAGUAAAAAUGAAUCCUUUUCGCUCACCUUAUAUAAAAAUCAGUUUGAGGUGGAUCAAGGACAUACAUCUAAAACCUGAAACCAUAAAAAUUCUAGAAGAUAACAUUGGAGAAACCCUUCUAGAUAUUGGCUUAGGCAAAGACUCCAUGACCAAGAACCCCAAAGCAAAUAUAACAAAAACAAUGAUAAAUAGGCGGGACUUCAUUACACUAAAAAGUUGCUUCACAGCAAAAGAAACAAUCAGCAGAGUAAAUGGACAACCUACAGAGUGGUAGAAAAUCUUCACAAUCUAUACAUCUGACAAAAGACUAAUAUACAGACUCUACAAGGACCUCAAACAAAUUAGCAAGAAAAACAAAACCCUUCAAAAAGUGGGCUAAGGACGUGAAUGAACAAUUCUCAAAGAAAGAGUUGCAGUGAGCCGAGAUUGUGCCACUACAUUCUAUCCCUGCUACAGAAUGAGACUCAGUCAAAAAAAAAAAAAAAAAAAAAAAAAAAAAAAAAAAAAAAAAAAAAAAAAAAAAAAAAAAAAAAAAAAACCAGAAUUAAAAUGUGUGCUUAUUGGUUGCACAGUAGUGCUAGUGGCUUCGUGGUUUGGUCCUCGGAGCCGGAAGCCACCACUGGUACUGAGCUGGUAGGAAGCCCCUGUCCAUGAGCUCAUUGGAGCUUUAACCCAUUAUCACUCCUCCAACUCACUGACACACAAAAAAAAUGAUUGAAGCAGAUGCCCAGGAAAGCUCUUCAUUGGUGGGCUUAAUACAGAAACAAACGAGAAAGCUCUUGGCACAGUAUUUGGCAAAUAUGGACAAAUAGUGAAAGUACUCUUGAUGAAAGACCAUGAAACCAACAAAUCAAGAGGAUUUGCUUUUGUCAACUUUGAAAGCCCAGCAGACACUAAAGAUGCAGCCAGAGACAUGAAUGGAAAGUCACCAGAUGGAAAAACCAUCAAGGUGGAACAAGUCACCAAACCAUCAUUCGAAAGUGGUAGACAUGAACUGCCUCCACCUCCAAGAAGUAGAGGCCCUCUAAGAGGUAUUAGAGGUGGAGGAGGAGGAAGUGGAGGAACCAGGGGACCACCCUCUCAAAGAGGACACAUGGUUGAUGGUGGAUAUUCCAUUAAUUUUAACAUGAGUUCUUCCAGGGGACCGCUCCCAGUAAAGGGCCACCACCAAGAAGUGGGGUUCCUUCUCCUAAGAGAUCUGCACAUUUAGGACCAGUUCGCAGCAGCAGUGGAAUGGGAGGAAGAGCUCCUGUAUCAUGUGGAAGAGAUAGUUAUGGAGGUCCACCUCGAAGGAAACCACUGCCAUCUCAUAAAGGUAUUUAUUUGUCCCCAAGAGAUGAUGGAUAUUCUACUAAAGACAACUUACCCAAGUUUUCUUGAUGCAAGAGAUUAUACACUACUACCACAAGAUUAUACUUACUUACUCGGAUUAUGGUCAUUUCAGUUCACAUGAUGACUAUCCAUCCAGAGUCUACAGCGAUAGAGAUAGAUAUGGUCAUUAUCAUAACUAUUCAGAUCAUCCAAGUGGAAGUUCCUACAGAGAUUCGUAUGAGAGUUAAAGUAACUCACGCAGUGCUCCACCUACAUAAGAGCCCUGCCAUCUUAUCAUGGAAUCAGUCGCUAUCAUGAUUACAGCAGUUUACAUGACCUAAAUGGUGGAAGUCGAGACAGUUACUCAAGCAGCCGUAAUGAUCUCUCCUCAAGUAGUCAUGAUCGCAUUGGCAGACAAGAAAGAGGGCUGCCCCCUUCUAUGGAAAGCCCUCCUCCAUGUGAUUCCUACAGCAGAGCAAGAAGAGGUGGUGGUCAUGGAGGAAGCUGAUCUGGUAAAGAGGGAGGUAGAAGCAGAUACUAGAAGCAAACAAAACUUUGGACCAAAAUUACAGUUCAAAGAAACAAACAAAAAGUGGAAACUAUUCUGUCAUAACUACCCAAGAACUACUAAAUGGAAAAACUGCGUUACCUUUUUUAAAUUCCCUAAGUUCCCCUCUGUAAUUUUUAUGUUUUUGUGAGGAAAAAAGUAAAAUAUUUUUAAUUUUAUUUGACUUUAUGACAUUGCUUUUCAACAAGCAAAUGUUAAAUGUGUUAAGACUUGCACUAGUGUUGUAACUUUCCAAGUAAAAGUGUCCCCAAAGGCCACUUCCUAUCUGAUUUUUCCCAGUAAAUGGGGCAAGCAAUUCUAAGGUCUUCCACAAAACACCUAGCCAUCUAAAAUGGAAAGAUACAAACAAGCUAGUUAUUGGAGGGUGGUUGGGAUAUGCUACUCAAAACAUUUCAGGGUGUCUUCCAACUGAAAUCUCACUGUUUCACCAUGAAAACCCUGAGAUCAGAUGCCUAUGUAAGGAAAGUGCUAUUCACCCAGUAAACCCAAAAAAGCCAAUGGAUAAUGCUGGUCAUUUUGCCUUUCUGACAUUUCCUUGGGAAUCCACAAGAACCUCCCCUUUCCCCUCCCCCAGUAAGACACUUUAAGUAUGUGUUAAACAAGUAUAGAAUACUAAAUAAAAAGCUUGGCCAAAAGCAAACAUGAAGCUGCAAAGGUGCUUGCUCUUACUGUUUCAAGUUUUGGCAACUCUGUAGUGUCUAACUUUUAAAGGAACAGCUUGAUUGCAAAGGAGAAAACAGACAGGCAAUGAAGUUAUUGCCAACUUCCUAAAGGCUUAUGACUUCUAAAAAGUGAAUCUAUCAGCAUUCCACAUUAGAUUUAAAGCAACAAAUGCCUGUGAAACAGCAAAGAUGGUUGAGGAUUAUGCUCAUUAUGGUCCUGGAGUGCUGAUUUAUUCACAGUAGAUAAAGCUGGCAGUAAGAAAAAUCAAAUGCUAAGAGUUGUUGAAGCAGAAGGCGGCUGAUUGUCAGUAAGUCACUACAGUUGCAUAAGCAAUGCUGUCAGAAUUGGUUUGGUGUAGGCAAUAGAUCUUGCCUUCAAGGAUCACUGUGGAUCUGAGAAAGGCAUCAGUGUUAUUAACACUCAUAACUAGGGAGUGAGUGGUAGUUAUUUAAAACAAGUAAUUAAUCAAAUGGAAAAGGGGAAGUAAUUAAGGAAAUUGGUAAGUGGAGGUAGUCAAGAAGUUCUUGUGGUGCUUUACAUAGAUUUUACAGCUUUGGCUUUCAUUUUGCUUAGCUAAAGUCAUGGGGACAACUCUUUAAUUUAGAAAUUAAGUUGAAUUAUAAAAAUGAUGGAUAUAAGUGGUAGCUCUAUCUAGUGAAGUGUCUGACAGUAAAUGAAACACUUUUUUGUGGUGGCUUAUUCAGAAACAGAGUUUAGUUGUAGAAUAAAACUUGAGUGACAUAUGGAAAAUAACAACCAUGCUAAGCACACUGGAAACAGUUAGGCCACUUGGCUUUCUUUUGCUGUAUUAUUUUAUAAGCCUAAUUUACCUCCUAGUCUUGGAAACAAGUUUUAGUUUACUGCUUUGGAGACUAGAGCCAAUAGCAUAAUGGUCUCAAAGGAAACAGACUUGAGUUGUUGGAGUAGAGGAACUAACUCAACUUACAAGGUUUUUUUUUGUUGUAAUUAUGGCACUGUCCUGUUUUAACAUUUGCAACUAGGGAGAGUAAGUACAACAUUUUAAACUCUCAUUUGAAAGACAACUACUAAUCAACAGACCACAAGGAUAAUGACCAAAUUUAUGUGGUUGUUGCCCCAGUCUUCCAUACUCUUAUGAUUACUUGGGUGAAAGCUUCUGUGAGGACCUUUUGUCUCUUGAGAUACCCAAGACAUUUAAGAUAUUUAGAUAUCCUAAAGAUAGUAGAGGAUAUAGAGAUUGUACCAAAUAUAAAUGUAUAUUAAGUUCAAAGCAAGAAGUAUGUUAAAAUGACCAGAUAACUGUUUGAUAGUUUACUGACGUAGCAGACAUGUGAAAAACAAUCAGAUCUUGAUUAUUCUGGGUUUAUACUGGUUGUAA